GAUGUGUAAUCGCAGCGAUUCGUUGAGCUAACCUGUACUAAUGAACCGUGAGGCUUAACCUUACAACGCCGAAGC
rnacentral:rRNA from 1 species